rnacentral:rRNA from 1 species
CAGCAGUGGGGAAUAUUGCACAAUGGGCGCAAGCCUGAUGCAGCCAUGCCGCGUGUAUGAAGAAGGCCUUCGGGUUGUAAAGUACUUUCAGCAGUGAGGAAGGUGGGUAUGUUAAUAGCAUAUUCAUUUGACGUUAGCUGCAGAAGAAGCACCGGCUAACUCCGUGCCAGCAGCCGCGGUAAUACGGAGGGUGCGAGCGUUAAUCGGAAUUACUGGGCGUAAAAGCGCAUGCAGGUGGUUUGUUAAGUCAGAUGUGAAAAGCCCGGGGCUCAACCUCGGAAUUGCAUUUUGAAAACUGGCAAACUAGAGUACUGUAGAGGGGGUAGAAUUUCAGGUGUAGCGGUGAAAUGCGUAGAGAUCUGAAGGAAUACCGGUGGCGAAGGCGGCCCCCUGGACAGAUACUGACACUCAGAUGCGAAAGCGUGGGGAGCAAACAGGAUUAGAUACCCUGGUAG